rnacentral:lncRNA from 1 species
GCCAUAAAGAAGAACAAUGUACCAGCUGCACAGGUCAGCUUAGCUUACAGGAAACUCUGUCCUCUGCAACCUCCCAAAGAAGACUGGACCAAGAGGUGUGGCACUAAAAUGACAUGAUGACUUUGGAAAAGAAGAGACCUGGCUGGGGACUACAGGUUGGAAAAAGAACUCCAGGGAAAAGUAGAGAACUGUACCCGAUGGAAAUGAAUGGAAGAUUUCUUCACUAUAAUUUUACUAGCUGCAUGAAGCACAAUGGUUGAAUGCAAGGUAAGGAAUUUGUUACUUGUGAAGACAUACAUCUUCCUUUUCCCUAUGCCGAAACAUUUCAAGACUGAAGAAAACAGCCAACAAAACAAGCUAAAGUAAGCACAGCUCAGUCAUGUGAAGACAUAAGCCCCAUUCAGGUGUAUGGAACUGAAAAAAGAAUUAACUGUGAAAUGCUUAUUAUUAUUUUUUUCCCCAGUACCAGGGAUUGACCUCAGGCAGGUGGAGUGCCACUGAGCUACAUCCUUGGCCCUGAAAUGCUUAUGUUAAAGGAGAAAACUGGUGCAUUUUUACCUGGCUCCCCAGUGACCCUGUUGUAGAGGAACUGAAGGCCAGGGACAGGAUUUCUCUCAGCGUAUAUGAACAAUCCCACUUUUA